rnacentral:rRNA from 1 species
GACGAACGCUGGCGGCGUGCUUAACACAUGCAAGUCGAACGGUGAAAGCGGAGCUUGCUCCGCUGGAUCAGUGGCGAACGGGUGAGUAACACGUGGGCAACCUGCCCCUCACUUCGGGAUAACUCCGGGAAACCGGGGCUAAUACCGGAUAUGACCUCCUUGGGCAUCCUUGGAGGUGGAAAGUUUUUCGGUGAGGGAUGGGCCCGCGGCCUAUCAGCUUGUUGGUGAGGUAGUGGCUCACCAAGGCGACGACGGGUAGCCGGCCUGAGAGGGCGACCGGCCACACUGGGACUGAGACACGGCCCAGACUCCUACGGGAGGCAGCAGUGGGGAAUAUUGCGCAAUGGGCGAAAGCCUGACGCAGCAACGCCGCGUGCGGGAUGACGGCCUUCGGGUUGUAAACCGCUUUCAGCAGGGAAGAAGCCGCAAAGUGACGGUACCUGCAGAAGAAGCACCGGCUAACUACGUGCCAGCCGCCGCGGUAA